rnacentral:rRNA from 1 species
UACAGGGGGGUGCAAACGUUUGCUCGGAAUUAUUGGGCGUAAAGCGCGCGUAGGCGGCUACCUAAGUCGGAUGUGAAAGCCCCCUGGCUUAACUGGGGAAGUGCACCCGAAACUGGGUAGCUAGAGUGCAAAAGAGGGUCGCGGAAUUCCCGGUGUAGAGGUGAAAUUCGUAGAUAUCGGGAGGAACACCGGUGGCGAAGGCGGCGACCUGGGGUUGACACUGACGCUGAGGCGCGAAAGCGUGGGGGAGCAAACAGG